rnacentral:rRNA from 1 species
CUAAGUGCGAAACUUGCCUCAAGAUGAGAAUUCCUAUGAGAGCCGUCAGAGACGAUGACGUUGAUAGGCUACCGGUCUAAAGCGAGUGAUCGCAAAGCCAAGUAGUACUAAUGCCUCCAAGACUUCUUAUU